AGUUUGCUCUCCUAGGUGAAUUGCCUACCACGGCUAACGAAUCUCACCUGCCCGGCUUUGUAAUCGGAGUUUGCUCUCCUAGGUGAACUGCUUUCGCUAACGACCUCCACCUGCCCGGGUUUUAUAAUCGGAGUUUGCUCUCCUAGAUGAAUUGCUUUCGCUAACGACCUCCACCUGCCCGGGUUUGUAAUCGGAGUUUGCUCUCCUAGGUGAACUGCUCACGCUAACGACCUCCACCUGCCCGGUUUUGUAAUCGGAGUUUGCUCUCCUAGAUGAACUGCUUUCGCUAACGACCUCCACCUGCCCGGGUUUAUUGUUCGGAGUUUGCUCUCCUAGGUGUAUUACCUAUGACGGCUCACGAGCCCAACCUGCCCGGGUUUAUUGUUCGGAGUUUGCUCUCCUAGGUGAAUUGCCUACCACGGCUAACGAACCUCACCUGCCCGGGUUUAUUGUUCGGAGUUUGCUCUCCUAGGUGAAUUGCCUACCACGGCUAACGAGCCCCACCUGCCCGGCGUUGUAGCCGAAAGUUCUCCGGCACCUCCGUCGGGGUCCCGAUGGACGCCGAGGCGCCCUGCCGGGAGCCCUUCAGUCCUGCCACGCUCGCCUGGGAGACCUUGGGCUCGCUGGCGCUCCACCGCCCCGCCGAUUCGAAUAGGGCGGAUGCAAGAACUCGCUUCUUAAAACUACCAGACUGAAUUAUAAAUUUAAUCAU